rnacentral:rRNA from 1 species
UACGGAGGGUGCAAGCGUUAUCCGGAUUCACUGGGCUUAAAGGGUGCGUAGGUGGGCUGGUAAGUCAGUGGUGAAAUCUCCAGGCUUAACUUGGAAACUGCCAUUGAUACUAUCAGUCUUGAAUACCGUGGAGGUCAGCGGAAUAUGUCAUGUAGCGGUGAAAUGCUUAGAUAUGACAUAGAACACCAAUUGCGAAGGCAGCUGGCUACACGAAUAUUGACACUGAUGCACGAAAGCGUGGGGAUCAAACAGG